rnacentral:miRNA from 1 species
CGCUCUUUCUCUCUAUCUGGCC